AUUGGAGAACCAGGAACAGCAGUGGGUUUUCGUCCCACUGUGCCGCGCGCAACUAGAAAGAACGCAAAGCGUGGGAGCGAAAAAGGUCUCGUCUCGAUCGCAUCACCGCAGCAGCAGGUACCAAAACGUCGUCCGCAACGAAAAGCAACGACGAACGAAGCAAAAAGUAAGAGAGGGAGAGCAUGAGUGCAAAUACAAUAGCCAAAUGCACACACUUUUGCAUUUGCACGAAAUUCUUCUUUCGAUCGCCCUCGCAGCAGCAACAACAAAUGCACUCUCCUUUGCUCGCUCUCAGCACAAAUACGGGAUCAGAUUGAAAUUAUACAAGGUGGUGGGUAAGCUUACUCUCUUUCAUUCACGCUCAGCACUGCGGAGAGCGAUUUGACGCAAAGCUUGAUGAAAGAGGGAGAGAGAACAACAAAGUUUGCUGCUGUACUGCGUUGCGGAAGCGGACUUUGAAAUCGAAGCUGUCCACGGCUGAGAUUGCGGGACUUGCGAUUCGGAGGUAGAGACUGUGGGCUAGAGUGGGACGGCGCUAGCAAAAUCAGAUAACGCGUUGUCAGCAGUGCCUCUAUUAAUUUUCGUUAUCUUCUUUAUGGGAAAGCAUUUAAAAUUGGUACAGAAAACAAAUACAAAUACAAUCUCUGUGUGCCAGUGUUGCAAAGAAAGGAUGUCUGUGAGGACAGGAAAAGACUCGAGUGAGUGGAAAGACAAACUCAAAGUCAGCUCAAAAACUUGCAAAAUGAUUUUAAAUGACAUAGGAAAUGGCAGGACGCAUCCCAUUCACACACACACAAACAUAUAUGUAUAUAGUCACGAGUCCUUGGCUCCGAUCUUGUUAAGAUAAAGUCGCCUUGCGAAUAUUAACAACAAUAACAACACAACAACAACAACAGCAACAAAAGAAAGCACAAAAUAAAUACUAAAAACAGAAA